UACAGAGGGUGCGAGCGUUAAUCGGAAUUACUGGGCGUAAAGCGCGCGUAGGCGGCUUUGCAAGUCUGGUGUGAAAUCCCCAGGCUUAACCUGGGAACUGCAUUCGAGACUGCAUUGCUAGAGUAUGGGAGAGGAGACUGGAAUUUACGGUGUAGCGGUGAAAUGCGUAGAUAUCGUAAGGAAGACCAGUGGCGAAGGCGGGUCUCUGGACAGUUCCUGACGCUGAGGCACGAAGGUCAGGGGAGCAAACGGG
rnacentral:rRNA from 1 species